rnacentral:rRNA from 1 species
GCUCCUUCGACGUUAGCGGCGGACGGGUGAGUAACACGUGGGCAACCUACCUUAUAGUUUGGGAUAACUCCGGGAAACCGGGGCUAAUACCGAAUAAUCUGUUUCACCUCAUGGUGAAACACUGAAAGACGGUUUCGGCUGUCGCUAUAGGAUGGGCCCGCGGCGCAUUAGCUAGUUGGUGAGGUAACGGCUCACCAAGGCGACGAUGCGUAGCCGACCUGAGAGGGUGAUCGGCCACACUGGGACUGAGACACGGCCCAGACUCCUACGGGAGGCAGCAGUAGGGAAUCUUCCACAAUGGGCGAAAGCCUGAUGGAGCAACGCCGCGUGAGUGAAGAAGGAUUUCGGUUCGUAAAACUCUGUUGUAAGGGAAGAACAAGUACAGUAGUAACUGGCUGUACCUUGACGGUACCUUAUUAGAAAGCCACGGCUAACUACGUGCCAGCAGCCGCGGUAAUACGUAGGUGGCAAGCGUUGUCCGGAAUUAUUGGGCGUAAAGCGCGCGCAGG